rnacentral:rRNA from 1 species
UGCAGUCGAGCGACAGACGAGGAGCUUGCUCCUCUGACGUUAGCGGCGGACGGGUGAGUAACACGUGGAUAACCUACCUAUAAGACUGGGAUAACUUCGGGAAACCGGAGCUAAUACCGGAUAAUAUAUUGAACCGCAUGGUUCAAUAGUGAAAGACGGUUUUGCUGUCACUUAUAGAUGGAUCCGCGCCGCAUUAGCUAGUUGGUAAGGUAACGGCUUACCAAGGCAACGAUGCGUAGCCGACCUGAGAGGGUGAUCGGCCACACUGGAACUGAGACACGGUCCAGACUCCUACGGGAGGCAGCAGUAGGGAAUCUUCCGCAAUGGGCGAAAGCCUGACGGAGCAACGCCGCGUGAGUGAUGAAGGUCUUCGGAUCGUAAAACUCUGUUAUUAGGGAAGAACAAAUGUGUAAGUAACUAUGCACGUCUUGACGGUACCUAAUCAGAAAGCCACGGCUAACUACGUGCCAGCAGCCGCGGUAAUACGUAGGUGGCAAGCGUUAUCCGGAAUUAUUGGGCGUAAAGCGCGCGUAGGCGGUUUUUUAAGUCUGAUGUGAAAGCCCACGGCUCAACCGUGGAGGGUCAUUGGAAACUGGAAAACUUGAGUGCAGAAGAGGAAAGUGGAAUUCCAUGUGUAGCGGUGAAAUGCGCAGAGAUAUGGAGGAACACCAGUGGCGAAGGCGACUUUCUGGUCUGUAACUGACGCUGAUGUGCGAAAGCGUGGGGAUCAAACAGGAUUAGAUACCCUGGUAGUCCACGCCGUAAACGAUGAGUGCUAAGUGUUAGGGGGUUUCCGCCCCUUAGUGCUGCAGCUAACGCAUUAAGCACUCCGCCUGGGGAGUACGACCGCAAGGUUGAAACUCAAAGGAAUUGAC